ACGACCUUACUUGAACUAUAGGCUCGUACAUCUGUUUUCUUGAGAAAAUUUCUCAAGAGACAGGCCCUAAACCCUUGUUGAUGAACCGUGACCGUGCGGCUUGAGCGUGAUUGACGGCUACGAUUGUCCUUGGAUGCAUCCGGUGCUGUAGAGGAUGGUUACUCGGCUCGGUUCUCCCUUGCCGGGGUGGUCGCACGGCGGUCUGACAGGUU
rfam:Arabidopsis thaliana chromosome 4, complete sequence.